rnacentral:rRNA from 1 species
CAGGCUUAACACAUGCAAGUCGAGCGGGGAAAGGUAGCUUGCUACCUGACCUAGCGGCGGACGGGUGAGUAAUGCUUAGGAAUCUGCCUAUUAGUGGGGGACAACAUUCCGAAAGGAAUGCUAAUACCGCAUACGCCCUACGGGGGAAAGCAGGGGAUCUUCGGACCUUGCGCUAAUAGAUGAGCCUAAGUCAGAUUAGCUAGUUGGUGGGGUAAAGGCCUACCAAGGCGACGAUCUGUAGCGGGUCUGAGAGGAUGAUCCGCCACACUGGGACUGUGACACGGCCCAGACUCCUACGGGAGGCAGCAGUGGGGAAUAUUGGACAAUGGGCGAAAGCCUGAUCCAGCCAUGCCGCGUGUGUGAAGAAGGCCUUUUGGUUGUAAAGCACUUUAAGCGAGGAGGAGGCUACUUAGAUUAAUACUCUAGGAUAGUGGACGUUACUCGCAGAAUAAGCACCGGCUAACUCUGUGCCAGCAGCCGCGGUAAUACAGAGGGUGCGAGCGUUAAUCGGAUUUACUGGGCGUAAAGCGUGCGUAGGCGGCUUUUUAAGUCGGAUGUGAAAUCCCUGAGCUUAACUUAGGAAUUGCAUUCGAUACUGGGAAGCUAGAGUAUGGGAGAGGAUGGUAGAAUUCCAGGUGUAGCGGUGAAAUGCGUAGAGAUCUGGAGGAAUACCGAUGGCGAAGGCAGCCAUCUGGCCUAAUACUGACGCUGAGGUACGAAAGCAUGGGGAGCAAACAGGAUUA